rnacentral:tRNA from 1 species
GGAUAGGUAGUAUAAUGGAUAAUACAACAGUCUUCUAAACUGUAUUAUAAGAGUUCGAGUCUCUUCCUAUCUA